AUGCAUCUAUUACUAGAUGACAAGAGGGAGCUAAUAAAUGCGCGGAGGCGGGCAACGUAUCUUAAGAACAAGGAAAAUGCUGACAUUAACAAGGAACAGAUGAAAGCUCCGUUGGUAGAUGGUUAUCGAAAAAAAUAUGAUGAUGCCGCCGGCAAGCAUCUCCAUCAAAAUCUGCCUGCCGUUGACAUGUCGGGUAUGCAAAAUGUUCCACGGAGCGCUCUCGGUGAUAUCACUAAUGGGGUACAAGCUCACUCUAUGCUCCUUGUCGACAAAAAUAGCCAGAUCAAGGCUCAAGGGCGAGCUACCGUGAAGCACAAAGAUGAUAACCUUCCUGCCCUUACAAGUUCAGCCGACCCAAAUAGGUCCACCUAUACGUCAUUGUCACAAGAUGAGGCAGUAUUGCCUCAUACCACUACAAUCACAACAUAUGUCAUUCGUGAUAACCAACUACCUAGGAAGCAGCAUGAUAAUGCAGACGACAUUGAUGGGUUCCGAGACUACAUCUUGGGCGACUAG
rnacentral:rRNA from 1 species